AACGCACCUUGCGCCCUCUGGUAUUCCGGAGGGCAUGCCUGUUUGAGUGUCAUUAAAUUCUCAACUUCAUUAGUUUUUAUAACUGAUUGAAGCGUGGAUUUGGGGGCUUGCUGGCGUCUUAGAUGUUUCGGCUCUCCUUAAAUGCAUUAGUAGGAACCCGUUUGUUGGCGUCCAUAGUGUGAUAAUUAUCUACACUUUGGUUAGUUCAACAGGCUCUAAUGAAGUUAUUUCAGAGUGCUUCAAGUGCUUCUGGUACGGGUUUUGCACUUUGUGCUUUACCUGGGUAUAUGAGGUUUUGCGUUUUUAUAUGCUUUACCUGAUUUUUUUCAUUAGAGUAGGAACUCUGCUCUCUAAACGUCUAUUAUUGUGGACAAAUUUUUGACAACUUGACCUCAAAUCAGGUAGGACUACCCGCUGAACUUAA
rnacentral:misc_RNA from 1 species